rnacentral:rRNA from 1 species
GAUGAACGCUAGCGGCAGGCUUAACACAUGCAAGUCGAGGGGUAACAGGGUAGCAAUACCGCUGACGACCGGCAAACGGGUGCGGAACACGUACGCAACCUACCCUUAUCUGGGGAAUAGCCCGAAGAAAUUCGGAUUAAUACCCCAUAGUAUCACUUGGUGGCAUCACCGGAUGAUUAAAGAUUUAUUGGAUAGGGAUGGGCGUGCGUCCUAUUAGCUAGUUGGUGGGGUAACGGCCUACCAAGGCGACGAUAGGUAGCUGGUGUGAGAGCACGACCAGCCACACGGGCACUGAGACACGGGCCCGACUCCUACGGGAGGCAGCAGUGAGGAAUAUUGGUCAAUGGGCGAGAGCCUGAACCAGCCAUGCCGCGUGAAGGAUGAA